rnacentral:rRNA from 1 species
CAGCACGGGAGCAAUCCUGGUGGCGAAUGGCGAACGGGUGAGUAAUAUAUCGGAACGUGCCCAGUCGUGGGGGAUAACGCAGCGAAAGCUGUGCUAAUACCGCAUACGAUCUCUGGAUGAAAGUGGGGGACCUGCAAGGGCCUCGCGCGAUUGGAGCGGCCGAUAUCAGAUUAGCUAGUUGGUGGGGUAAAGGCUCACCAAGGCGACGAUCUGUAGCUGGUCUGAGAGGACGACCAGCCACACUGGAACUGAGACACGGUCCAGACUCCUACGGGAGGCAGCAGUGGGGAAUUUUGGACAAUGGGCGCAAGCCUGAUCCAGCAAUGCCGCGUGCAGGAUGAAGGCCUUCGGGUUGUAAACUGCUUUUGUACGGAACGAAACGGCUCUUUUUAAUAAAGAGGGCUAAUGACGGUACCGUAAGAAUAAGCACCGGCUAACUACGUGCCAGCAGCCGCGGUAAUACGUAGGGUGCGAGCGUUAAUCGGAAUUACUGGGCGUAAAGCGUGCGCAGGCGGUUUUGUAAGACAGAUGUGAAAUCCCCGGGCUCAACCUGGGACCUGCAUUUGUGACUGCAAGGCUAGAGUACGGUAGAGGGGGAUGGAAUUCCGCGUGUAGCAGUGAAAUGCGUAGAUAUGCGGAGGAACACCGAUGGCGAAGGCAAUCCCCUGGACCUGUACUGACGCUCAUGCACGAAAGCGUGGGGAGCAAACAGGAUUAGAUACCCUGGUAGUCCACGCCCUAAACGAUGUCAACUGGUUGUUGGGUCUUUACUGACUCAGUAACGAAGCUAACGCG